UGCUCCGCUCCAUCGCAUGGUGGGGUGGGAAAUGCUUUUGCGGCAUGGGAUGGGGUCGCGUCCUAUCAGCUUGUUGGCGGGGUGAUGGCCCACCAAGGCGUUGACGGGUAGCCGGCCUGAGAGGGUGACCGGCCACAUUGGGACUGAGAUACGGCCCAGACUCCUACGGGAGGCAGCAGUGGGGAAUAUUGCACAAUGGGCGCAAGCCUGAUGCAGCGACGCCGCGUGAGGGAUGGAGGCCUUCGGGUUGUAAACCUCUUUUGUUAGGGAGCAAGGCAUUUUUGUGUUGAGUGUACCCUUCGAAUAAGCACCGGCUAACUACGUGCCAGCAGCCGCGGUAAUACGUAGGGUGCAAGCGUUAUCCGGAAUUAUUGGGCGUAAAGGGCUCGUAGGCGGUUCGUCGCGUCCGGUGUGAAAGUCCAUCGCUUAACGGUGGAUCCGCGCCGGGUACGGGCGGGCUUGAGUGCGGUAGGGGAGACUGGAAUUCCCAGUGUAACGGUGGAAUGUGUAGAUAUCGGGAAGAACACCAAUGGCGAAGGCAGGUCUCUGGGCCGUUACUGACGCUGAGGAGCGAAAGCGUGGGGAGCGAACAGGAUUAGAUACCCUGGUAGUCCACGCCGUAAACGGUGGAUGCUGGAUGUGGGGCCCGUUCCACGGGUUCCGUGUCGGAGCUAACGCGUUAAGCAUCCCGCCUGGGGAGUACGGCCGCAAGGCUAAAACUCAAAGAAAUUGACGGGGGCCCGCACAAGCGGCGGAGCAUGCGGAUUAAUUCGAUGCAACGCGAAGAACCUUACCAAGGCUUGACAUACACCGGAAACGGCCAGAGAUGGUCGCCCCCUUGUGGUCGGUGUACAGGUGGUGCAUGGUUGUCGUCAGCUCGUGUCGUGAGAUGUUGGGUUAAGUCCCGCAACGAGCGCAACCCUCGUUCUAUGUUGCCAGCGCGUUAUGGCGGGGACUCAUAGGAGACUGCCGGGGUCAACUCGGAGGAAGGUGGGGAUGACGUCAAAUCAUCAUGCCCCUUAUGUCUUGGGCUUCACGCAUGCUACAAUGGCCGGUACAAAGGGCUGCGGUACCGUAAGGUGGAGCGAAUCCCAAAAAGCCGGUCUCAGUUCGGAUUGAGGUCUGCAACUCGACCUCAUGAAGUCGGAGUCGCUAGUAAUCGCAGAUCAGCAACGC
rnacentral:rRNA from 1 species